rnacentral:rRNA from 1 species
UACGAAGGGGGCUAGCGUUGCCCGGAAUUACUGGGCGUAAAGCGCACGUAGGCGGCUUUGUAAGUUAGAGGUGAAAGCCCGGAGCUCAACUCCGGAAUUGCCUUUAAGACUGCAUCGCUUGAAUCCAGGAGAGGUGAGUGGAAUUCCGAGUGUAGAGGUGAAAUUCGUAGAUAUUCGGAAGAACACCAGUGGCGAAGGCGGCUCACUGGACUGGUAUUGACGCUGAGGUGCGAAAGCGUGGGGAGCAAACAGG